UUAUAAUAUUUUUGAAUUAAGGCCAUAUAUAUAGAACACUAAAAGGUUAAUCAUAAAAUAGUACAAAAAGAGAAAAUUUCCUAAAAUAACAUUCCUAAAAUAACAUUUAUUAAACAAGAAAAAGAAAACUAAAUCACUUUAAACUAUAAUUCUUAUGCUUAAAUUCUGAUCACUAAACCCUAAACUCAAAUAUAAAAUAUGUAUUUAUUGUAUAAUCUAUAAUUAUAUGUUCUUAAAAUAAUUUAGUUUUCUAAUAUGUCUAAAUAAUCUUAUAGUUAAAAAGGAGUAUACUUGUAUUUUUACUUUUUAAUGAAUGUUAUUUUGAGAUUUUUUUUUUCUUUUUGUGCUAUUUUAGAACUAAAACAUAUGAGGGUAUUUCUCUAUAAUUUUUAAUUUCUUAAAUUAUUAUUUUGGUUAUUUUUCUGACAAAAUAUAAUGUGUCGUUAGUUACUGCAAUAGAAACAAAUUAUAACGAAAAUACAUUUGAAAAGCAAUAAUGCCCCCUUGCUAAACCUUGUGUACACAUAUAGACAUGUGAGAUCACUUUUUUUCUUUUGAAAAAGGAUGUGAGAUCACUUUUGACUUUUCUAUAUAAGGCAUCUCAUUUCUUCAAUUAAUACACAAAGAUCAUAUUUACCUUCAUCUUUCUACUCUUUCACGUCUUGUGUUUUUAAUAUAUUUCGUAAACCCUAGUAAGUCAUACAAGACCAGCUAUCUUUCAUUUAAUACAUCCCAUA
rnacentral:lncRNA from 1 species